rnacentral:lncRNA from 1 species
UUUUUUUCUCAUUCUUCUUGCACACACUUUACAAACCCUAAAAAACUAAGUUGCAUCCUCUCUCCUAUCACCACCACCAAGAUCCUCAAUUCUAAACCAUAGCCAAAUCUCUGCAACAUCAUCUUCUUCACACAAAUCAAUCCUAUUAACCAAUCAAAGAUCUGAUCAUAAAAAUUGAAGUCUUUUAGUUUGUUGUUGAUGAUGAUAUAUAUGCAUCCCUUGCACAACAGUCCUUCAUUUUUAAAGCUUAUUGAUGAAGAUGACCCGAUAUUUUUGGUACGUUUAUGUGUAUUCUAUUUACUAAUCAUAUUUUAA